ACGGGAGGCAGCAGUGGGGAAUAUUGCACAAUGGGGGAAACCCUGAUGCAGCGACGCCGCGUGAGUGAUGAAGUAUUUCGGUAUGUAAAGCUCUAUCAGCAGGGAAGAAAAUGACGGUACCUGACUAAGAAGCACCGGCUAAAUACGUGCCAGCAGCCGCGGUAAUACGUAUGGUGCAAGCGUUAUCCGGAUUUACUGGGUGUAAAGGGAGCGUAGGCGGCAUGGCAAGCCAGAUGUGAAAGCCCGGGGCCCAACCCCGGAACUGCAUUUGGAACUGUCAGGCUAGAGUACCGGAGAGGUAAGCGGAAUUCCUAGUGUAGCGGUGAAAUGCGUAGAUAUUAGGAGGAACACCAGUGGCGAAGGCGGCUUGCUGGACGAUGACUGACGUUGAGGCUCGAAAGCGUGGGGAGCAAACAGGAUUAGAUACCCUGGUA
rnacentral:rRNA from 1 species